UACGGGGGAGCAAGCGUUGUUCGGAUUUACUGGGCGUAAAGGGCGCGUAGGCGGUCAGCACAAGUCAGUUGUGAAAUCUCCGGGCUUAACUCGGAAAGGUCAACUGAUACUGUGCGACUAGAGUGCGGAAGGGGCAACUGGAAUUCUUGGUGUAGCGGUGAAAUGCGUAGAUAUCAAGAGGAACACCUGCGGCGAAGGCGGGUUGCUGGGCCGACACUGACGCUGAGGCGCGAAAGCCAGGGGAGCGAACGGG
rnacentral:rRNA from 1 species